GCUAGGGUUUGUUCAACAUUUCCAAGCUUGAUUGUAAGUGCAUCCUAUCCCUGUUUUUAAUGUUCUUUGUAUUUUUAAAGUCCUUGAAGAAUGAUCUACCCGUUUUCUAGCUAUAUUUUUAGCUAGGGUUCAUGUAUGAAAUUUGACCCAUUACAAAAUGCAUGUAUUUUGAUGAUUAAUGGAGAAAUAUGAAUGUUUGAUGCAUGAUAAACAUCUUUUACUAGGUGAUUUUUAGUGAAAACACCUAAACAAGGGACUUGUUUGUAAAAAUGUUAAAGUGAGUAGUAAUAAUGUGAAAUAAAAGAAAAUAUGGGCUGAUAUGAGCAUAAUAAAGGUUCGAAUAGGCUUGAUAACCAAGAAAAUGCAUGCAUUCCAUUUUACGAGCCUAGGGACUAAAUCGUAAAUAUGUGAAAGUUUAGGGGUCAAAAUGUAAAUUUACAAAAAGUAUGAUUUAUGGACCCAUUUAAAUAAGGUGAAUAAUAAAUAAGUUAAAUUUUGCAUUAUAGAUAAAAAAACGUGAAUCGGGACUUGAUCGAGGAAAGAAUAAAGUAUACGACGAUUAGGCUCGAUUAUCAUCAUUUUUGUACCGAGUUCUGCCAAGCUAGCUUGGGGAUCGAAAGUUGUCGGAGUAUUCGAUCACACUAUCAAAAGACUAUUGGGUAUAGUUAAAUUAUUAUUUUGAAUAUGGCAUGUAUAGAAAGCUUGAUCAUUUUGUGAUAUGUAUCAUGCUAUUUGGCCAAAUUGUGAAGGCCUAUGAUGAUGAUUCGUUUUGUAAUGGCCAUGUGAUAUGGCUCAUAUUUGAUUAUUUGGGGUUGUAAUCUAAUUACCCAUACAUGCAUACGCUAGUGUUUUGAUGGUAAGAUAUGUUAUUGUUUGGUAAGUGCAUAAUAA